rnacentral:rRNA from 1 species
UUCCUUAAAAAAGGCCCUGGCUGGUUUAAUUUCUAUCAAUUUUACUGAUGAAACUGCGUGGGCUCACUAUAUCAGUUAUGGUCCGCUCGAUCGUUUAAACCAUGGAUGACUGUGGUAAAUCUAGAGCUAAUGCAUGCAAAUCCGGGUAGCAAUACUCGGAGCAUUUAUUGGACAUGCCCGGGGGGGGGCGGAAACGCAACCUUGAAGGUGAAUCUAGAUAACUGUGCAUAUCGUAUGGUCUUGCCCCGGCGAUAGUUCGAUAAAUUUCUGCCCUAUCAACUAGCUGGUUGGGUAGGGGCCAAACGAGGUUGUGACGGGUAACGGGGAAUCACGGUUCGAUUCCCGAGAGGGAGCCGGAGAAACGGCUACCACUUCUAAGGAAGGAAGCUGGCACGCAAAUUACCCAAUCCACACAUUGGGAGGUAGUGACGAGAAAUGCCAAAGUGUGCCUAUGGUUCACUAUUGGAAUGAACGUGACAUAGUACCUUCCAUGAGUACCUACAGGAGGGCAAGUCUGGUGCCAGCAACCGCGGUAAUUCCAGCUCCAGUAGUGUAUAUCAAAAUUGUUGCGGUUCAAACGCUCGUAGUUGGAUUACAAAAGUUUGGCCCUAGUUAAUCAAUAGCUUGAACAGUGUCCGGCUUUUUUAUCGGAUGAACCACUCGUGCAUUUUGACUUGUGCGGGUGACCACUCGCGGAGCGUGCCUUGAAUCAAGCACAGUGCUCAAAGCAAGCGUAACGCUAGAAUGUUUAAGCGUGGAACGAAUAACUCUGACUACAUGGUUCAGUUGUUGGUUAUCKGAACCGGGUCCUGAUUAAAUGAAACAAUAUGCAGUGACGAUUAGCUAUUCGACGUCGAUGAGGGGAAAUUCUUAUACCCAGCCCAAAGACUCAGCUAAUGCGAAAAGCAUUCGCCCUAAGAAAGUUUUCUUUUAUCAAGAAAAAAAAGUUAGAGGAUAGAAGACGAUCAGAUCCCGUAGUAUUUUUACUCAGCUAAUUAACCCACCAAGGAAUCAGUCAUGAGGUGAUCCAGGUUGGUUCCUCUAGGAAAAUGCGAGAGUUCGGGUUCCGGGGGGAGUGCGGUGGCAAGGCUGAAAAUUAAAGGAAUAGACGGAAGGGCACCACCAGGAGUGGAGCGUGCGGCUUAAUUUGACUCAACACGGGGCAACUCACCAGGUCCAGACAUUGAAAGGAUAGACAGACUGAUAGAUCAUUCGAGAUCCAAUGAUUGGUGGUGCAUGGCCGUUCUUAGUUGGUGGAGCGAUCUUCAGGUCUAUUCCGGUAACGAGCGAGACCACGAUCUCUAUUUUUUACGGUUACUUUGUUGUAACUGGUCAUAGAGAGACAACCGGAGUACAAACCGGGGGAAGCGUGGCAAUAACAGGUCUGUGAUGCCCUUCGAUGUUCUGGGCCGCACGCGCGCUACAAUGGUAGUGACAACAAGUUUCUGCCUCGAGAGGGGUGGAAAAUCUUGACAAUCACUGUCGUGAUUGGGAUUGAGCCUGGUAAUAAUUGCUCAUGAAAGAGGAAUUCCUUGUAAGCAUGAGUCACAAACUCGUGUUGAAUACGUUUCUGCCCUUUGUACACACCGCCCGUCGCUACUACCGAUUGAAUGGUAUUCCGAGAUAUCGGGAUUGGGUGCCGCAAGGCAUCUGAGAGAUAUAUCAAGAAAACAUAUGAUU